rnacentral:rRNA from 1 species
UAAUACGUAGGGUGCGAGCGUUGUCCGGAAUUACUGGGCGUAAAGAGCUCGUAGGUGGUUUGUCGCGUUGUUCGUGAAAUCCCGUGGCUUAACUGCGGGCGUGCGGGCGAUACGGGCAGACUGGAGUACUGCAGGGGAGACUGGAAUUCCUGGUGUAGCGGUGGAAUGCGCAGAUAUCAGGAGGAACACCGGUGGCGAGGGCGGGUCUCUGGGCAGUAACUGACGCUGAGGAGCGAAAGCGUGGGGAGCGAACAG